UAUUCCUUUUAGUUUCUGUUUUGUGAGAACUCUGUAUAAAGCUUUUUCCCUUGACCAUUUGUCCUCCCAGGCCUGAGACUGCUUCUGAAGUUGAGAGAAUUGAAUAAACCCGGGCUUCCUUCCUGGGAACUGGGUACUUGUCAUCGAAGAGUAGAAUGUCUCUGGAGAAGCUUGUGGUACCAGGAUUUGAGGAAACCCCUUCCGUCCGGCAAAGACAACGUGAAGAGGUGUUUAUGAACGGGAUAACAACCACUGUCAUAAAUGGGACCAAGGAAGACAGAGGCAAACACAAAACGUACCUUCAGUGAGAUUUGGGAGAAGGGACGUGAGGAAGGUUCUCAUGCCUCUUCCACAAGCUUUCCAUCUAAAAAUUCCUUCUCAUUUAGAGAUGAGCUUUAAUCUGUAAAUUCUCCUGGGAAUAUUAUGCCUGUCUUAAUUCUCACACUAACGAAUCCACAUCAGUAUUCCCUUUGGUGAGUAAUAGGUAGGGCCUUGAGUGCUUAAAAUGAAGUGUCUGCAGAUAUGAGAAAAUGCUGUCAAAAAGGAAGGCUUAGCAUCUUAAAAUCAAAUUUCUUGCUCCUAAAUUUUUUUGGAAAUUUGUCAUAGCUUUUAUCUGAAAUGGCUUGAAUCACAACCACGCUCUGGAAAACGGUCUUUUAUUUUCCUUGUUUUGGAUUUGUAGUUUCUUAAAUACUAUAUGGUCUUGACCAUCUACCACCUUCCUUUCGUUGUUCAAUGUCCUCCCUUUGCUCUCAAACUCUUUUGUAAAUUAUUUCAAGCUGCCCCAUUUCUGCUCCUGAAUUUCCCCCUUGUUUCCGCUGGUCGUGUUUAUUUAUUAGCUCACAGUGAUUGCUUCCUUUCUCAGGUCUGGAAGGGCAUAACUGUGCUCAGGUAUGACUCUGACCCUUAAAAAAAACAUGAAUACAAGGCAUAAAUAUCACUGAGUUGGUGACUGCAUCUAUUAAAAAUAUUUUGAUCAUC